rnacentral:lncRNA from 1 species
AGCUCACACAGCCAGCUAGAAGUAAGGAAGGACAAUGAAGCUGAGAAUAAAGGACAGUGGCAAUAAUAGAUACAACAAUGGGAGAAACAAGAGAGGCCAGGAUGGAGAAGAAAGAAAGAACUAUCAAACAAAAAGGGGAAAACGAAUAGGAAAGAAGUGGGGAUUGGACUGACAGAAUGAAACCAGGAAAACUGCUGCAGAGUGAGAGUCUUCUAAAUGGAUUAAGAAGCCUAUCUCAAUCCCUCUGGAGAGUCCUCUUCAAUUCACAAUGAAGAUGUUGAAGAGCAGGGACAGACAUCAACACUCCUCUCCCCACCUUCCCCACUGGCAGAGGCAUUCAGGUCACUACUAGUGUCUCUCUUUCUCUUUUCCCCUUCUCUUAAUCUCUCACUGCCCUUCUCUCCAUGUCAUAUUCUCUUUUUCUCCUUCCCUCUCUUCCUUCUUACCUACUAAACUCCAUAUGUACCAAAAUCAGUCAAAGCUCUACUAUCUAGCUCUCUUUAUCUAGACUAAAGGAGUUGUCCACCUCUUGGUCUAGAUAACACUUGCAAAUAAAGACCUGCUCGUUUCCCAAAGCUAAGUAAUUGUUUUAGUUGAGCAACUGGGAAAGGAGGAUGGUUUUGUGUUGUACUCUGAUGCUAUUAUCCUUGGAUGGAGCGGGGAAGAUGUUGCUAUUGUCUGCAAGCUUAGCCCAUCAGCCCUGCAAUGUUUCCAUCAUGGAGCUCAACUGAGCAACUAUUGCACUCUCUGCAGCUGAGCCUCCCUUUUGACAUUAUAACAGAUUUUAAACACUGUGAAGACAUGAGAGAUUCUAGGGUGGAAGAAGCUAGGUGUCCCUGUUUACAUAGGCCCCACUAGAUCCCAAAGCUCUGCAGCUCAGGUCUCAGAAUUCCCCUUUGUCUUCAGUCUGAGAGUUACCUACGAGAGCAAGGUUACUCAGCAGAAGCUUUGCCCUGAGCUACAUUUUUGGGCCUCUGCCUGCAGGUGGCAUCAACUUGAAAGGACUUGUUGAGGAUUACCUUGAUAUCUCCAAAGAGGCUCUCAUCCACCUCAGAGCUCACGGCUUUGGUCCGAUAGCGAGCCUUAUUCCUUGACCUGUUGGAAGCGGCAGAAGAGGAGCUCAGGAUGCCAGCUGUGCUUAGUGGCUGCAGGAAGAGGCAGAAAGUUUGGGUCAUCAGUACUGAGUGGCAUCCAGACCCUGGGAAGUCAACAAUUCACCAGCCCAUGCUGGGGGAGUGGGUGGGCAUGUGAAAAAGAAACAGUUAGGGAAAGCGGCUGUGUAAACUCUGAACCAUAGGGGACAAGGAGCAACAGAUGGAGGGCAUCCCCACAGAGCAGGGAAGGGUCUCUGCAAAAAAAAGAGCUCUGCAUAAAGCAGCAUUUGUGUAAAACAGUUGAUCUCAUAGAAGUACAGAGUAGAAUGGUGGUUACCAGAGGC